rnacentral:ncRNA from 2 species
CUGUCGGAGAGACGCGUUGAGCUACGUACUGUAUCCGGGCACCUGGUACGUGGUGAGCGAGUGGUGCGACCGGCUUUUCGUUCA